rnacentral:rRNA from 1 species
CUCUUGAUGAACGCUAGCUACAGGCUUAACACAUGCAAGUCGAGGGGCAGCAUGGUCUUAGCUUGCUAAGGCCGAUGGCGACCGGCGCACGGGUGAGUAACGCGUAUCCAACCUGCCUUACACUCUUGGACAGCCUUCUGAAAGGGAGAUUAAUACAAGAUGUUAUCAUGAGUAAGCAUUUUCGCAUGAUUAAAGGUUUACCGGUGUAAGAUGGGGAUGCGUUCCAUUAGAUAGUAGGCGGGGUAACGGCCCACCUAGUCUUCGAUGGAUAGGGGUUCUGAGAGGAAGGUCCCCCACAUUGGAACUGAGACACGGUCCAAACUCCUACGGGAGGCAGCAGUGAGGAAUAUUGGUCAAUGGACGAGAGUCUGAACCAGCCAAGUAGCGUGAAGGAUGAAGGUUCUAUGGAUUGUAAACUUCUUUUAUACGGGAAUAAACGAAUCCACGCGUGGAUUUUUGCAUGUACCGUAUGAAUAAGGAUCGGCUAACUCCGUGCCAGCAGCCGCGGUAAUACGGAGGAUCCGAGCGUUAUCCGGAUUUAUUGGGUUUAAAGGGAGCGUAGAUGGGUUGUUAAGUCAGUUGUGAAAGUUUGCGGCUCAACCGUAAAAUUGCAAUUGAUACUGGCAGUCUUGAGUACAGUUGAGGUAGGCGGAAUUCGUGGUGUAGCGGUGAAAUGCUUAGAUAUCACGAAGAACUCCGAUUGCGAAGGCAGCUUACUAACCUGUAACUGACAUUGAUGCUCGAAAGUGUGGGUAUCAAACAGGAUUAGAUACCCUGGUAGUCCACACGGUAAACGAUGAAUACUCGCUGUAGGCGAUAUACAGUCUGCGGCCAAGCGAAAGCAUUAAGUAUUCCACCUGGGGAGUACGCCGGCAACGGUGAAACUCAAAGGAAUUGACGGGGGCCCGCACAAGCGGAGGAACAUGUGGUUUAAUUCGAUGAUACGCGAGGAACCUUACCCGGGCUUAAAUUGCAACCGAAUAUGGCGGAAACGCUAUAGCUAGCAAUAGCGGUUGUGAAGGUGCUGCAUGGUUGUCGUCAGCUCGUGCCGUGAGGUGUCGGCUUAAGUGCCAUAACGAGCGCAACCCUUGCCGAUAGUUACUAACAGGUUAUGCUGAGGACUCUGUCGGGACUGCCAUCGUAAGAUGUGAGGAAGGUGGGGAUGACGUCAAAUCAGCACGGCCCUUACGUCCGGGGCUACACACGUGUUACAAUGGGGGGUACAGAGGGCUGCUACCACGCAAGUGGAUGCCAAUCCCAAAAACCUCUCUCAGUUCGGAUUGAAGUCUGCAACCCGACUUCAUGAAGCUGGAUUCGCUAGUAAUCGCGCAUCAGCCACGGCGCGGUGAAUACGUUCCCGGGCCUUGUACACACCGCCCGUCAAGCCAUGGGAGCCGGGGGUACCUGAAGUGCGUAACCGCAAGGAGCGCCCUAGGGUAAAAC